GCCGCGGCCGUGAGGUGCACGUAGUAGGGUCGUGAUGAGCGGGGUGAGGAGGCCUCAGGCACCUCCUCUGCGCAUCCAGACGGUGGCCUUCGCUCCUCCGUUUGCGGGAGGAAGGGCCCGUGUCCAUUGAGCUGGCUGAUGUUUUAGUUUAGUGGAAUGAGGUCAUAAGUGUAAGAGCCUUGAUUGGGAAGAAAUAAAGAGAAUUUGGCUGGAGAAUAUCACUUUAAAGAAACUGAUGACAAGAGAGAAAGUAGUGGGCUGGGACACGUCUGGUACCAAAUUGCCACAUGGACACCAAGUUUCAAGUCUACAGCAGCAUCUCACUGGAUCAUAGAGGCAUUGCCCGACUGUCUGUAUGAUUGAAGCCUCCUUUGUAAUUUGUCCAACUGGGUCACUCAGGACAGAUAUAAGAACCCAAUCUCCAUUAACCUAUCUUGAAGAAACCAGUCUUGUUUAGCAUGGAAGCUUCCCCUGCUGUAGUCUGGAUCCAGAUGCAUCCAAACUGAGAAUAGAUCCAUCAAUUACAGCGGAUCAAGUUAGUGAUGACAAUCGAAGGUUUAAUUAAUUUCAGGUCUGCUCUAAGCACGACCAAUUCUAGGUACACAGCUGUCUCUCUUUUUGUGCCCUGUGCUUUAAAAAAAUUUUUUUUAACCUAUUAGUUAAAUAAAAAUGAACAUACUGUACAAGCAAUGUUAAUUAAAAAAAAAAUAAGCCUGGUACAGGGAAAGCAGUUUCACAGUGCCAGUCCAGUUACUGAAGGUUUCCAAGAACCUUUAUUUAACCUUCCAAGUUAAAUAAAGCUUCUGCAUGAAACAUAGCCUCCAUUGCUUUCAAAUCCAGGACAAUCCUAAGUAACUCAGGAUUUGUAUGUCAAUUAAGGCCUGGUUUUACUCUAGCAUCUAAUUUCUCCUGGAGUUAACCAUAGUCUUAUGUUGAAAUAUAAUGGAAAGCUAUUCUUAAUUUAGUUUCCUGGCUUGCUAACUUGAUCAAGCAACCAAAUUGUCUUCUAUAGCUCAUGGACAUAACGGUUUCAUAAUCCAUCAAAUGCCACUGCUAAAUUGGGAAUCGUGCCUUACUAGAACAUGCAAACUAGCCAUUGUAGUAUCAAGCCAUUAACAGAGCAGUUACAAACUAUGCCUUAACUAAGUUUAAUUACUAACCUAAUUGCUAUAGGUGGCAAGGAAUUCUAUCUAGGAAAGUGAAUAGGGCUGCUGGAGUAAGAAUAAAUCACUCAAUCUCUCCUUUGCUGCUGGUAAGAGAGGCAAACUCUGCUUUAUAGUAGAAAAGAAACACAGGGGAAGUCUUUCCAGAGCAAUCAACCUCUGAUGUGCUAGAUCACUUCUCAUUAAAAGGCAGAAUUGUUAUUUUUGUUAGCAAAUUAUGAAGCUAGUAACUUUUCUGGCCUUGAAUAAGAAACUAUAUACUUCUUUGUAGCCAUUUGGUUCCACUGUUUACCAUUAUUUUUCUUUGUGCUAAUACUUUAAGGUUGAUGCCGGAAUAAAUUGGGAUUCUAUGAUUAAAUAGAGCAUUCAUGUUAUAUCCGCCUUUUUUUUUUAAACCCACACACAAAGAUGGGAAAGCAGUGACUUUCCAGAUGUUGAGUGACAACUUCUAUCAUUCCUGUCCACUGGCCACACUGCUAAUUGGAAUUCUGAUCCAACUAUAUUAGGUAAUCUGUAGAUAAUCCUUCUCUGUCCUGAGUACAAACUUAACUG